AAUAGAUGACGCCGUUGACUUUUUCUCACAUGUUUGACCAUUCGUCUUAUUCAAAAAAUUUACGUAAUUAUAAUUUAUUUUAUUAUGAGUUGUUUUAGCAUUCAUAUUACUUUAAGUGUGAUUUAUAUUUGCAUAAAAUUUUUGAAUAAGACAAAUGGUCAAACAUGUGAUAAAAAGUCAACGGCGUCAUCUAUU
rnacentral:pre_miRNA from 1 species